AUUUUAGUCUUCACAUAACAUCAAAUACCCCCACAGCCUUAAAAUUCACUCAAAUAAGGUACAGCCUAUUUGAAACAGAGUACAGCCUAGAACAGAGGGUAAUGUUAUAAUCAACGUGACUAAGUGGGCCUAAAAGCAGCCAUCUUUAAAAAAGCGUUAAAGCCUUGUCACAUCCUACCACUAAUCCCAAUCAAAAUCCAAAACCCCUUAUCAAUACUAAAUGACUCCAUACCCCUAUGGAAACCCUAAUGUUAGAACUAGUAACAAGAGUAAUUACUCUCCUACAAAUGUAAGUGUAAGCCGAAAUGGACCACCCACCGGCACUUAUCGCUAAUGAAUUAAUAGUAACAACCUCCCCCAGAAAACCUUACUGCCCCCAGCGUUAACCUUACACAAGACCUUUCCCGGAAAGAUAAAAAAUGAGGAAG
rnacentral:rRNA from 1 species